AGGGGCAUAGCUCAGUUGGUAGAGCACCGGUCUCCAAAACCGGGUGUCGUCGGUUCGAAUCCGGCUGCCCCUGCCA
rnacentral:tRNA from 2 species